rnacentral:rRNA from 1 species
CAGGUGGUCAGGUAGAGAAUACCAAGGCGCUUGAGAGAACUCGGGUGAAGGAACUAGGCAAAAUGGUGCCGUAACUUCGGGAGAAGGCACGCUGAUAUGUAGGUGAAGUGAUUUACUCAUGGAGCUGAAAUCAGUCGAAGAUACCAGCUGGCUGCAACUGUUUAUUAAAAACACAGCACUGUGCAAACACGAAAGUGGACGUAUACGGUGUGACGCCUGCCCGGUGCCGGAAGGUUAAUUGAUGGGGUUAUCCGUAAGGAGAAGCUCUUGAUCGAAGCCCCGGUAAACGGCGGCCGUAACUAUAACGGUCCUAAGGUAGCGAAAUUCCUUGUCGGGUAAGUUCCGACCUGCACGAAUGGCGUAAUGAUGGCCAGGCUGUCUCCACCCGAGACUCAGUGAAAUUGAACUCGCUGUGAAGAUGCAGUGUACCCGCGGCAAGACGGAAAGACCCCGUGAACCUUUACUAUAGCUUGACACUGAACACUGGUCCUUGAUGUGUAGGAUAGGUGGGAGGCUUUGAAGUGUGGACGCCAGUCUGCAUGGAGCCAACCUUGAAAUACCACCCUUUAAUGGCUGGUGUUCUAACGUAGACCCGUAAUCCGGGUUGCGGACAGUGUCUGGUGGGUAGUUUGACUGGGGCGGUCUCCUCCUAAAGAGUAACGGAGGAGCACGAAGGUUAGCUAAUCCUGGUCGGACAUCAGGAGGUUAGUGCAAAGGCAUAAGCUAGCUUGACUGCGAGAGUGACGGCUCGAGCAGGUGCGAAAGCAGGUCUUAGUGAUCCGGUGGUUCUGAAUGGAAGGGCCAUCGCUCAACGGAUAAAAGGUACUCCGGGGAUAACAGGCUGAUACCGCCCAAGAGUUCAUAUCGACGGCGGUGUUUGGCACCUCGAUGUCGGCUCAUCACAUCCUGGGGCUGAAGUAGGUCCCAAGGGUAUGGCUGUUCGCCAUUUAAAGUGGUACGCGAGCUGGGUUUAGAACGUCGUGAGACAGUUCGGUCCCUAUCUGCCGUGGGCGCUGGAGAAUUGAGGGGGGCUGCUCCUAGUACGAGAGGACCGGAGUGGACGCAUCACUGGUGUUCGGGUUGUCAUGCCAAUGGCAUUGCCCGGUAGCUAAAUGCGGAAGAGAUAAGUGCUGAAAGCAUCUAAGCACGAAACUUGCCCCGAGAUGAGUUCUCCCUGACCCUUUAAGGGUCCUGAAGGAACGUUGAAGACGACGACGUUGAUAGGUCGGGUGUGUAAGCGUAGCGAUACGUUGAGCUAACCGAUACUAAUGAACCGUGAGG